CCUUAAAAUAACAUGGUCAAAGUCGGUCAGUGAGAUGGGGGAUAAGCUUCAUCGUUGAGAGGAAAAUAAUCUAAAUCAUCAGCUAAGGCCUCUAGUGCUAAAGGAGGUAGGGGUACAGAGACACCCAGGAUCGCAGUUUGACUAGAAGCAGUCACCUUUGAAAGAGUGUGUAAUAGCUCACUAAUCAAGCGCUCUUACGUCGUAGACGAACAUGGCUAAGCGAUCUGUCGAGGCUAGGGGAGCGUUCCGCCUUAGAGUGAAGCACCCUAAAUAGCUUUGGAAUUUCUCCAUUUGAAAGUCUUAUUUAAACGAAAAGUAGAGG
rnacentral:ncRNA from 2 species